GAAAAAGUAGCCAGCCCACCAUCCCUAGAUGAUUUUGCAGUCUUUGCACACCAGUGUGGCCAUAGGCUUGUUUUCUCCUGGACUGAGCCUGCAGAUCCUAUGAGCAAGCAUAUGUCCUGUGCUCCACUAGUCCUAGCUGGAUCGUGGACAUAUUACCAUCAUUACAAAUAUCAAUAGUUUGUGAUUACUUCAAACAAUCUGAAGUUGAAGGACCCCAGAUAUCCUUCAAAACAGGAAUCUGCAGGCAGAUGCUGAAACCAUGAAUACAGAGGGACAACUAUGCUCCGGCCCUGAACGCAGGAGAGUUGCUAAAGAAGUUGCUCACAGAGGCGGGAGAGAGCAGGCUACUGGUUUCCUUCAAAAUGGAAUAGGAAACAGAAAACGUGCAUCAUUUCUUCGCACUUGAAUCAGCAACAUGACACAGGACUUUGGCAUCAGACUACUAUCACACCAAAAAAAGAGGCUUCACUUGGAGUGCUGCCACUGGAUGGGGCCUGACUUGUUUAUCCGGAAAGAAGUGACUUCCCUGGGAAGAAGGUUGCAUUUGUGAAAGCUUGUGCAGCAUUUCAAGGCUGCAUUCAGGGGCUCUGACCUCCAGUGUCAGCCUUCCAAGGAGAGAAUGGUAGUGUAAUCAUGACUGGAGAGCAACUGUUCCAGAUAAGAAUAUUUUGGCAGAUUUUAAAAGCAACUAUUACUGGUGUUGAUUGACUUAAAAAUAUUUUAAAAAUAUAACAUGUUAUAAACCUCUUCAAUAUCAAGAGGCAGGAUAUAAUGAUUUGUAUAUUUUAUUUUGACUUUACAUGCG
rnacentral:lncRNA from 10 species